GACGAACGCUGGCGGCGUGCUUAACACAUGCAAGUCGAACGGAAAGGCCCUGCUUUUGUGGGGUGCUCGAGUGGCGAACGGGUGAGGAACACGUGAGUAACCUGCCCUUGACUUUGGGAUAACUUCAGGAAACUGGGGCUAAUACCGGAUAGGAGCUCCUGCUGCAUGGUGGGGGUUGGAAAGUUUCGGCGGUUGGGGAUGGACUCGCGGCUUAUCAGCUUGUUGGUGGGGUAGUGGCUUACCAAGGCUUUGACGGGUAGCCGGCCUGAGAGGGUGACCGGCCACAUUGGGACUGAGAUACGGCCCAGACUCCUACGUGAGGCAGCAGUGGGGAAUAUUGCACAAUGGGCGGAAGCCUGAUGCAGCAACGCCGCGUGCGGGAUGACGGCCUUCGGGUUGUAAACCGCUUUCGCCUGUGACGAAGCGUUAGUGACGGUAAUGGGUAAAGAAGCACCGGCUAACUACGUG
rnacentral:rRNA from 1 species